rnacentral:lncRNA from 1 species
AUGAAGGAGGAUAAAAUGGGUUUCCUUUUAUCGAACAGGGUUGACGACUCUAGCAGACGUUCUAGAGGCCAUGGAGCACUUUGGGAAGUGCACUCAUUCUGGCUCCCACUCAGAAUAUUCAAGCACCAAAAAGAGGCAGCGUGUCUUCAAAUCUUGCCAACCCUGCGUCACGGGAGCGGUGGCCUCGCUGUCAUGGGGGCCGUCGGAGUCAUCCAGCGGGGCUGGUGGAUGGGCUGACUGCUCUCACUGGGGGAGACCUCCCAAAGCCUGCCGCCUUCAUCCUUGGUGUCCUGCUGUCACCAGAGAACGGGUACCCAGCACCCCAAAUGAGCUGAGCUCUGGUGGGGACACAGACCUGGGUCCCUAGACCCUCGGGUGCUGUGAAAAGCGGUAGUUUUGGAACGAGAGGGACCCAGCCUUGAAGCGUGGGCCUGCUGCCCCCGGUGACUGGCCUUUGCAAGUCGCACUGCCUUUUAGCUUCAGCUUGCUUAUCGGUAAGGGGUCAGCAGAUGAUGGUGUUUGCUCCGC